rnacentral:rRNA from 1 species
UACGUAGGUGGCAAGCGUUGUCCGGAAUUAUUGGGCGUAAAGCGCGCGCAGGUGGUUUCUUAAGUCUGAUGUGAAAGCCCACGGCUUAACCUUGAGAUGUCAUCGGAAACCAUUUGGCUAGAGUCCGGAAGAGGAAAGUGGAAUUCCUGGUGUAGCGGUGAAAUGCGCAGAUAUCAGGAAGAACACCCGUGGCUAAGGCGGCUCUCUAGUACGGUACUGACGCUGAGACGCGAAAGCGUGGGGAGCGAACAGG